AUUUCCAGAUGGUGAAUCAGACACCAGACGUAACAAUAUUUCCAUAUUUGGGUAUAGCAGUAGCCUGCGUUUUUAACAUUUUUCUGCCUCUGUUAUCCAACCACAAAGCAUUCUUGACAGCUUCAAAUGUUGUUAAAUAUAGAUUUAACUUCUCUUCCCAGAGCAGGAAAUUCUUUGGAAUUCCUUGUUUUUCACGCAAUCUGUCCAUCAUGAUUUAAAAUAAAAGCACAGUGGAUCAUCCAA
ensembl:lncRNA novel transcript